rnacentral:rRNA from 1 species
CGGGGUGAGUAACGCGUGGGCAACCUGCCUCGUACAGGGGGAUAACAGUUAGAAAUGACUGCUAAAACCGCAUAAGCGCACAGCAGCGCAUGCUGCAGUGUGAAAAACUCCGGCGGUACGGGAUGGGCCCGCGUCUGAUUAGCUUGUUGGCGGGGUAACGGCCCACCAAGGCAGCGAUCAGUAGCCGAUCUGAGAGGAUGGCCGGCCACAUUGGGACUGAGACACGGCCCAAACUCCUACGGGAGGCAGCAG